GCUACAGGCUCUUUGGUGGGACUAGUGAUGGACUCUGGGAGAGUUCAUAGCAAAGAGUACUUCCCAGAACUUCUGCUGCCAGUGUCCUUGUCCCCGUGGUGAGACACAGCCACCCCCCACCUCUGCAGGAGACCCUCCAACACUAGCAGGGGUUUGGCGUGAGAGGGAAAGAGUGUGUCUUUUAUACCAUCCUGAAGUGAAAGUUUAGCAUUUCCGUUUCUGAACUUCAUCACGGCAGUGGAUUCUCUCCAGGCCAACGACACAACCUGACUGAAUAUUAGGUGUGUGUAUGAGGUAUAAAGCCAUUGUCAAGGAAGAGCAAACAAAAGCAAGCUAUGGAAGAAAUGUCUGUUAAUCAUCAACCACACUUAACCUGGAAACUGUAAUCCUAAAUGAAAUUAAAAGGUGAAAGAAGAAAAAGAAAACUUUGAUACUGGGUUAAUUAGACAUGGCAGUUGGAAAGCAGAUGCUUUGUGACUUUAGGAAGAUUCCUCGACCUCUGCUUCUCUUCAUCCUGACCAUCCCCUUGUGGCAGGGUCCAUGCUGACCACAGCCUGGUUAUCCCACCCAGUUUAAGUCCCCCUGGGGCAGUGAGUAGGUCUGGUUCUAAUUUCUGACCUGUCCUGAUUGUUGCCAACCUGCUUUGUUAAAUGGACCACAUCUAAAUAUAUUACAAGAACUACAGAACUUAAAUGGUUUAUUUUUACAAGGAAAAGAAUGACUACAGAGUUCUAGCUGGGAACGUCAGGAGCCCAUACCUCUCCUCCAUACACUGGAAUUGGGACUACCUAUUGCCUCGGUUCCUAUUUGGGGGGGGUUGAAGGACUGGGUGAUUCUUGGACUCCAAAUCACUGGUGAAGACUGCCUUGUCUCAGAUGUGGCUAGGGUUAGGUUUUAAAGGAAAAACAUUGGAGAUCCUGGAGUUAAGGUGUGAGCCUCUUGUCAAUUUGCCUUGACUCUUCUGACUACUUAAAAACUGUUGUUCUUUAUCGUCCUCUAUGACUCUGUAAUCUCCCCUAUCUUCUAAAUCCCAGGAAAAGUUUUCAAAGUUCUCACUGCACACAGUCCAGCUCCAUAUCCAAUUAGAUUAAA